rnacentral:rRNA from 1 species
AACGUACGCUGGCGGCACGCCUAACACAUGCAAGUCGAACGAAGUAGCAAUACUUAGUGGCAGACGGGUGAGUAACAUGUAGGUAUCUGCCCUUUGGCCUGGAAUAACACGAGGAAACUUGUGCUAAUACCGGAUAAGUCUUUACGGAGAAAGCUUUAUGCACCAUUGGAUGAGCCUGCACUUGAUUAGUUUGUUGGUGGGGUAAUGGCCUACCAAGACUGUGAUCAAUAGCUGAUUUGAGAGGAUGAUCAGCCACAUUGGGACUGAGACACGGCCCAAACUCCUACGGGAGGCAGCAGUGGGGAAUCUUGCACAAUGGAGGAAACUCUGAUGCAGCGAUGCCGCGUGAGUGAAGAAGGCCCUUGGGUUGUAAAGCUCUUUCGUCGGGGAAGAAAAUGACUGUACCCGAAUAAGAAGGUCCGGCUAACUUCGUGCCAGCAGCCGCGGUAAUACGAAGGGACCUAGCGUAGUUCGGAAUUACUGGGCUUAAAGAGUUCGUAGGUGGUUGAAAAAGUUAGUGGUGAAAUCCCAGAGCUUAACUCUGGAACUGCCAUUAAAACUUUUCAGCUAGAGUAUGAUAGAGGAAAGCAGAAUUUCUAGUGUAGAGGUGAAAUUCGUAGAUAUUAGAAAGAAUACCAAUUGCGAAGGCAGCUUUCUGGAUCAUUACUGACACUGAGGAACGAAAGCAUGGGUAGCGAAGAGGAUUAGAUACCCUCGUAGUCCAUGCCGUAAACGAUGUGUGUUAGACGUUGGAAAUUUAUUUUCAGUGUCGCAGGGAAACCGAUAAACACACCGCCUGGGGAGUACGACCGCAAGGUUAAAACUCAAAUGAAUUGACGGGGACCCGCACAGGUAGUGGAGCAUGUGGUUUAAUUCGAAGAUACGCGCAGAACCUUACCAACACUUGACAUGUUCGUCGCGACUCUAAGAGAUUAGAGUUUUCGGUUCGGCCGGACGAAACACAGGUGCUGCAUGGCUGUCGUCAGCUCGUGUCGUGAGAUGUUGGGUUAAGUCCCGCAACGAGCGCAACCCUCACUUUUAGUUGCCAUCAUUAAGUUGGGCACUCUGAAAGAACUGCCAGUGAUAAGCUGGAGGAAGGUGGGGAUGACGUCAAGUCCUCAUGGCCCUUACGUGUUGGGCUACACACGUGCUACAAUGGUAUCUACAACAGGAAGCAAAACUGCGAAGUUAAGCAAAUCCCUAAAAGAUACCUCAGUUCGGAUUGCACUCUGCAACUCGAGUGCAUGAAGCUGGAAUUACUAGUAAUCGUGGAUCAGCGUGCCACGGUGAAUGCGUUCCCGGGUCU